UCAUGAGGUAAAAGUCUAAAGUCAUUUGUUUUUUAUGAUGCUAUCUGAUAGUUAGUAAUUACUUUUUAAGAAUUGCUUGGGACGUACAUUAAAGGGUUUCUUCCAGAAUUCUCUGUUCUACUUCCUAAACUCACUUCAAUAUCACACUAUCUUGAUUUACUGAUCUAUGCAUUAGUUUUAAAUUGGUUGACACAGUUUAGAUUUGUUUUAAAAUUGUCUUGACUGUUCAGUUUAAGGUUCCUUAUAUUUCUACGUAAGCUUUAGAGUCAAGCUUUCAAUUAGGAAAAACAAAACAUAGUGAGGGUUUGGGUUAUUGAAUCUUAGCCACACAUGUGAGAUGUCUCCAUUUAUUUAAACUUUUUUUUAUUAACUCUGUAACUUAUUAUCAUAUUCGAUAUACAGCUCUUAAACUACUUUUGUUAACAAUUUAAAUAUUUCAUUGCUUUUAACACUUUAGACAAUAAAUUGCUUUAAGUUUUUAUGUUGACUUUUUACUACUGCUGUAAAGAAUUACAAUUGAUUUUUGUGUAGAGAUCUUACAAAGCAAAAGCUCACUAAAUUCACUGAUAACUUCUGGUAAUUUGUAGAGUUUGUUUGCUCAUUGUUAUGUCGUACCUUGGGAUUUUCUACCUGAAAGCUCACAUUAUCUAAACAUAAACACUUUUAUUUCUUCGUCUUCAUCCUGUAAACUUCUAGUUUGUGUUUUGUCUCCUUGUACUUGGUAAAACACCCAAUAACAUGUUAAACAGAAGUGAUUGCCUGUUUUCAGUCUUUGAAGGAAAGUGACAUUUUACUACUAGGUGCAAUGUCGGUCGGUGUUCUCUGCUCUCCAGGUCAUACUACCUUCCCAGCUGGUGCUGUCCCUUCCAGAGAGCCAAGCUGCUGACCGUUUUAGAACUGCUGAUUCCCAGCACCUACUUUUACUGACAGAACAGUCAGAGAGCCCAGCAAGUGGGAGGCAUUGGAGAGUCAUGGGGCUAGAGUGUCUCAAAAGUUCUCCCAGCACUGAGAUUAUUUCCUUCCAUUCUUCUUGCAACAGAGGAGUGCUUUUUGGGUAAUGUGUCCAGAGUCACCCCAAACUUCCAUGUGGAGCCUGAAUCUUUGAAGAUGCAGCUAUGUCAGGCAAAAGAAAAGAUCAUUUCUGGCCUUAUACCUACUGAUCAGGGUGAAGAACAGAAUGAGAAAUGGGAACACUGCAAAGAAACUUACAUCAUUUUGACUCACUGGUAGUUGGUAUAGAUAUAAUAUUAUUAAUUCUUUAGUACAUGGGAUGGCCAUGUAUUUUGAUGCUUGUAUUGUUUCUGGACCUGCAAGUAAUUGCCUGCUAUUGUCUCUUUCUUUCAGCAAUCCUUAGAAAAGCAGCCCUUCCCAGUGUGAGGUUACUUUGAAAUGAACUGAAGGAGACCUUCAUGUAAAGAGAGUACACUGGGUUCUGCAAGGCAGAUUCUGCCUAAUGAUUUCCAUAGACUGUUUUCCUGGGAAGAGAAUAAAAUAAACUCUGAGAAAAUGGCA
rnacentral:lncRNA from 1 species